AGCAGAAGCGGGAAAGUGCAGAAAUUCAAGAUUUAAAAUAAAGAAGUCCUAACCCCUCUCAAACACUUCAAGAUCAAUCCUAGGGCAUCUCAAAGAGUCACUCUCAAGAUAGACCUCCUCAAGAAGAAGAUUUAUUCACAAUUAAAGAAGAGAUCAAAGACAAGGACCAAUCCAAUUUAGGAUUCCAAAACCUAAUUGGAUUGGGAUUCCUCACCUAGAAAAGGAGGCAGCCCAAACCAGCAAACAGAUCCUCUCUCCAGCUUCGGUAUCACUGCAGAUUCUUGGCAGAAAUUCUCCUUCUUUCUUUUCUUCUUUCUUUUGUGUAUUUUAGACCAUCAUGAGUGGCUAAACAUCCCUUUUCUAGUUGAAGUUGGAAAAUUCAGAUUUGUGAUGAAUUGGGAGAUUUAAAUCUCCAUUGUUAAACUUCUAUUUAUUUUCAAUAUUUAUGCAAUUUGAUCUUUCUAUAAUUGUUGCUUUGCUUUUAGAAUCAAUUUAGGCCUAUUGCUUUUAAUUGCUUGAGUAACAAUUGUUUGAAUAAUUUAGGUCUGUAAUUGCUUAGACUAUUUAAACACACAUUUAAUUAAGUUGCAUAAUCUAAACUUGACCACGCGAUUGUCAAGGUUAGAAUUAGGUUUCUCUAAAUCUUAAUGCAGUUAACAGUUGUUCGAUGCUAAAAGCUCCAAGGACGUUCCUUGGCAACUUGUUAACUAGUGUUUGAUUAGCGAACGUUUCCUAAUCAAACUAGAACUAAGGAGGAAUUUGGAUUGUGAGAAGCGUCUUCCACAUCCUAAACUAAUUUAUUGAAAUAAAUAGGAGUGUUAAAGAAUCAAUGAUCAAUUCUAAACAAUCUGAAAUAGAUCCAUACUUCAACUAGAAGCUUUUCUCUUAUUGAUUUACUCAUCUUUAAAUUAUUUGCUUUCUAUUGUUAAUUAGCUUUAGUACAUCUUCAAAACAAAACCCCCUUUUUAUUUUUGCUAUUUACUUGCCUUAAUCAUUAUUAGGAAGAUAUUUGGUGCCAAAUCCCUGUGGUUCGACCCUAUUGCCACUAUCUGCAAAUUUAUUUAUUUAUUUGUUGAUUGAUAAUAGGUUUAUUUUUUACGGCUUCGACAACCGCUAUCAAAAAUUGGCGCCGUUGCCGGGGAUUUGAUCUAAACUAACGUAUUUCCCUUUUAUGACCAGGGCUGGUCGUAAAGAAGCUCUUCUUUACGAUCCAGAAAUUGAACGCACUGCCAAGACCUUACAAGCAUGGCUACGGUAAGUAUGUCUUUUCUCUCUUCUCAAAUUUCUGAACUAACCGCUAUUGUGAGAAAUUAUGGUAUAGGUCAAGCUCAACAAGUUCAACAAGUUCAGCGAAUCAGACCAUGUGGGAUUUGUGCAUAUGUAUGACACCCAACUGAUCGAUGUCCUACACUUUAUGAGGAUUACCAGCAAGCACAUGCCUUUGAAGGAUUCAAUAGCCAGCUAAGACAUGAUCCCUACCUUGAUACCUACAAUCCAUGUUGGAGGGACCACCUGAAUUAUGGCUAUGCAAGGGCUAACUACUACCAAAACUAUCAAGCCCAAGCAACACCUAAAAACUCCAAUAUGCAACUUGAAGAGAUGAUGAGGACAUUGAAAAUUUCUGGGAAAAUUCUCCAACAGCAAGUGGAUCAAGCGGUCAACUCAGUGAACGCGCACAUAUUAAGAAGAGAGGAAGAGCUUCAAGAUCUAUGGGACGAUGACGAAAGUUCCCAAGAAACAGAACGAGCUAUUGAGUCUGCUGCACAAAUCAUCACUGCACUUGAAACUGAACCAGCUGCUGAAUUUGCUUCAUCUGUUACUUUAUUUGGUGCACAAAACACUGCAGUACUUGCUACUAUACCUAAUGAAUCUGUCGCAAGAACGAGCUGCAAAAUUGUUGAACCAGCUGCUGUCCAAACAACACUUGUUGAAGCUUCUGCCACCCAAGAGACAGCAAUACAUACUGCUGCUGCUGAAAAUAUUGCAGCACCUACUGUAAAAAAUUCAGACUUUGCUGCUGACCAAGCCGCUGAAGAUAGAGACAGCAACUACUGUCCACCUGCUGAAACUGCCAAAAUUACACCAGAAAUUACAGAAUUUGCUGUUGUGCAAAGUGCUGAAAACAGAGACAGCAACUGCUGUCAAACUGCCACAACCACUGUUGCCCGUAAAUCAGCACCAGCCGAAGUAUCUGUUACAUCCCCUGCUGUUGUCCAAAAAUCAGCAACCUCAGAACUUGCCCCAACUGAACCAGAACCUGCUGCUAUCCAAAAAUCAGCACCAACCGAAGCUCCUGCUGCAGAAACAACACCUGCUGUCCAAAAAUCAGCAACCUCAGAAAUUGCCCCAACUGAACCAGAAGUUGCUGCACUUGUUGAACCAGCAACAUACAUCACAGUACCAGCAUCUGCCAAAGCACAGUUUGCAACCCCUGCUGCUGUCCAAAAACCAGCAACUGUUGUGUUUGCCCAAACAGCACAGCCCACUGCUGUGUUUACCCAAACAGCACAGUCCCCUAUUGAAAUUACUGAAACAGCACAGUCCCCUGCUGAAAUUUCUGAAACAGAGCAGUCCCCUGCUGAACCAGCACAGCCCACUGCUGUGUUUGCCCAAACAGCUGCUAAAAUGGCAGAAUACAAUAUGCAAGCUGUUGCAACCAAACCAGCCCAAAAACCAGAAGUUUUUGCCUAAAAAAUUCCAAAACCAGUUGAUAGUUUAGAUAUCAUCGAUUUUAUGAGUCAGGAAAUUUUUGAUAUGGAUCAAAAUGAUAUGAUAACCAAUGAUUUUUGUAGGGAGGACAACCAAGAAGAUGAAAAGAGCCAAGGAGAGCUGAAGCAAACAACAAAUGACUGCUGCGUGCAGAAGACAGAUUGCUGUUUGCCCCAACAAACUGGGCAAACAAGCAGACAGAAGGCAAAACAAGCCCCCAAACAACUAGUUGAGACAGAUGACAGUCUGCCCAAAUCACCAGAAUAGGCAAUUCCCGAUCUGCCCAAAUCACUGGAGCAGACAGACAUGACAAAGGGUGAUUUGCCCAAAUCACUAGACCCAGCAUCAGGCAAUCUGCCCAAAUCAGUGAGCAGACAGCAAGCAGCAGACCAGACAGCAAUUGCACCAGAUCUGAAAUCUCUACCAGGGCACCUCAAAUACACCUACUUGGGAGCUGAAGAAACACUACCAGUCAUAGUUUUCAAUCAGUUAAGCCAACAAGAUGGAGAAAGCCUCCCCCAAGUAUUGAGAAAGCACAAGAAAACCAUAGGAUGGACCUUGGAGGACAUAAAAGGCACCUUAAGACCAUUCAGUGGAGGCUCGUCUCAGCAGAAUAGAAGACAGAAUGCAGCACAUGGAACACCUGCUGCAACUACUGGUAGACUACUUCUUGCCCACAGACCAGCAUAGACAGUGAUUUGGCCGAGUGAUUUGCCCAAAUCACCUGGCCAAAUCACCCACAGGCCAGGAAGUCCCUUUCCCUCUCCUUCUUAAUUUUUUAUAUAUGUGCUUACACAUUGAGGACAAUGUUUGCAAUAGGUGUGGGGGCACUGGAGAUUAUUUAUUCAUUGAUUACACUAUCUUUUACUUUCUUUUUGUUUCUUUUUGUUUCUUUUUGUAUCUUUUUGCCCCAUAACAUACACCAAACAUUUUGUCUUAGCUUUUGCUCUACUCAACAUAGAUAACAAGGUUAAAAGAGUUUCCUUAUCUCAUGACCCCAUUGAUUUGCCACCCCUUUAAGCCUAAAUUGAAUCAUUUACAGUAGGUUACCUUCACUUAGGGAGUCUUUUCUUGAAUUAAAUCCUUAAAUUUGAUGUGGUCAAGGGAAAUAAAAAUAUAAAUACAUGCAAAUAAAAAGUUGGUGUAACUCCCUAAAAGUUGAUUUGCCAAAACUGUUAUGAAAAGAAAAGAAAAAGAAAAACCAGCACAAAGCACAAAUCAUAAACCUGUUCCAAUGGUCAAAUGAGCUAUGAACAGAACUAGUAGCCACUUGAACAAGUGACUAACUUAGUAACCGGGGGUGAGUAUCACCAAUAUGCACCUUCGCGUAAAAAGGUUGGUGACUUUUUCAGGCAAGAAUAAAUAAGUGCUGCUGAAUAGAAAGUGUGAUUAAAAAGGGCAAAUCACUCUUAGAUGUUGCAUUGAGCUUAUACAAAGAGAAUAAGCAUGAUUGAACCAAAAACCUUUCUCUUGGCCAUGGAAGGUGAAAGGAAACAAGGAAAAGGGAGAACAACCUUAGUGCAUGUACUCUAUACUGUAAUACUUCAAUUUGGAAGUCUAGGGGGGAGCUGAUUAAGUGGUACUUAGGCUCAAAAGAAAAAGGAGCUUGAUUGACUAAGUUGUUUGUUGCUUGAGGACAAGCAAAAAGCUAGGUGUGAGGGUAUUUGAUCAAACAUAAAUUAGCCACAUUUUUAUUAUCUUUAUUAUUGCUUAUUUAUACAUUUUUUAGCUUAAUUUAUGGUUUUUAUCUUGUUUUUACAGAAAAGGAAGAAAUUAGAAAAUUGGAGAAAAAGUGCAAAAAAAGCUGAAAAAGUGAUUGGGUCAAAGUGAUUUGGCCAAAUCAUUGCCUAGAUCAAACUGAAGCAGAAACCUGAAGGCAACAGUCAGAAGUAAUUUGGGCAAGCGAUCUGCCCAAAUCACCCGCCCAAAUCACUCGCAGAGACAGAAAGCUGAAAACUGAACUGACUCACGGAAAAGCGAUUGGGGCAAGUGAUCUGCCUAAAUCACCCGCCCCAAUCACGUUGACAGCAGAAGCGGAAAAGUGCAGAAAUUCAAGAUUUAAAAUAAAGAAGUCCUAACCCUUCUCAAACACUUAAAGAUCAAUCCUAGGGCAUCUCAAAAAGUCACUCUCAAGAUAGACCUCCUCAAGAAGAAGAUUUAUUCACAAUUAAAGAAGAGAUCAAAGACAAGGACCAAUCCAAUUUAGGAUUCCAAAACCUAAUUGGAUUGGGAUUCCUCACCUAUAAAAGGAGGCAGCCCAAACCAACAAACAGAUCCUCUCUCCAGC
rnacentral:lncRNA from 1 species